rnacentral:rRNA from 1 species
GUUGAACGCUGGCGGCAGGCCUAACACAUGCAAGUCGAGCGAGCGGCGGACGGGUGAGUAAUGUAUGGGGACUGCCCGAUAGAGGGGGAUAACUACUGGAAACGGUGGCUAAUACCGCAUACUAUCGGAUAACCCAUAUGGGAUUAGCUAGUGGGUGGGGUAAAGGCUCACCUAGGCGACGAUCUCUAGCUGGUCUGAGAGGAUGUUGAGCCACACUGGGACUGCGACACGGCCCAGACCCCCGGGGAGGCAGCAGUGGGGAAUAUUGCACAAUGGGGGCAAGCCUGAUGCAGCCAUGCCGGGUGUUUGAAGAAGGCUUUAGGGUGGUAAAGUACUUUCAUCGGGGAGGCGUUACCCGAAGAAGAAGCGCCGGCUAACUCCGUGCCAGCAGCCGCGGUAAUUC